rnacentral:tRNA from 1 species
GGUUGUGGCUCAGUGGUAGAGUGCUUGCCUAGCAUGUGUGGGGCCAUGAGUUCGAUCCUCAGCACCA